rnacentral:lncRNA from 1 species
GGAGACUUCCUCAAACAAACACGCUUUGUCUUCAUGUGGAAAAACUACUGUGUGGGUUGAUAUAAAAACCUAUUUUUAAAAAUGUUUAUAAGGGGAAAAGAGUCUGUCUCUUUUAACUAACAGUAAAUCUAUGAAGUCUCUGGAAAAGCAAGGAAAAUGUAUAGAUACCUAUUGAAGUGGGUGUAGCAGUCAAUUCCGAGGAAACUCUCAAGGAUGGCUGUAAGAGAGUGCUUCUCAAACAAUUCACCUGUGCUUCGUGUGAAAAUGUAGAUUCUGAGCCCAUGGGUCUAGGGUGGAGCUCAAGAUUCUGCAUUUCUAACAAGUUGCCAGGAAUAGCGCCAUUGGAGCCUGAAGGCAGCAGAGGAGAAUCUUCCCUGGAAUUCUUAGGCCCUGAGGUGACAGAGGGGGAGUACCUUGUUGCUGGUCACAUAGCUGAAAACAAGAAUCUCUCAGUUUGUGUUUACGAGAAGAUUGUCGGUUUCACUCCAGCUGAAGGUGAAAAGAAUGUCACCCUCCUCUCAGCCGAGCCGAGCCCAAAGAAUUUGCUGAAGAAAUAUGGCUGAGAAACCCAGUUAUGGAGAGUGGAGCUGAGGAGGCAUAAUUGGCCCUAUUAUGAUACAACUGUUGGUUGGUUCCAUUCCUACUCUUGGAAAAGUGGAUCGAGGAAGACAUCAUGGAAAGAAGUAAGAAUAUGUUAGAAAAGCCAAGAAGUUUCAAAAGAAAUACUGCUCUCUUUCCUUAUGUCUACUGACAAAGAGAAGAAUAAGUCAGAGCUCAGGGCUCUCUGAUCUGCUUGCCAAACAACUUUAGAAAGAUGGAACUUGAUUCUCCAGGAAGUUCAAACCUCAAUCCCUCUAUCAAUAUUAUGAGAAAUUCUGUCAAAGUCAACUCUUUAUCAUCUGGAAUCUAUAGUUAUUCUAAAAUAUUGUCUCUAAUUUAAGAGAACUUUGCAAAUGAAAAGGAUGAAAAUCCUUUAUUUCAAACAUAGAAAAUAAGCACAUAAUAAACCUGUAAAUAUGAUUUGUCCUAAAUGAGAAAGAUCAUCAUGAUAGAAAGGUUUUCAAGUUACUAAAGAUUAUAAUAUUUAACACAAGAUCGAUUUCUAUAAUUUCCCUCAUUUUCCUUGCUCUCCUCUGCAUAUCGGGAAAGACGAAAGGAAUUAGGAUGGAAAAGAAUGACUUACCACAGAGAAAAAUACCUCCUGUCGUAACAGAGGCCCAAGGUCUGGUUAAAGGUACAGUUGGAAGAAAGAGGAAAGAAUAAAUUAAGGGUACAUUUAAAGCGCAGUAAUGAUGGGAAAUAUUAAAAAAAAAUCAUCCCAGUACUUUUGUCUUGUGUCCUGGAAGACUUGUGUUAUUAAUAAGAGGAGAAAAAGGAGAUGGGACGGGAAUAGGGUUACUGAUUGGAGGCAAUAAUGGACCAUCAAAAUGGAUGCAUGUUGCAAGCAAUAAUCCCGUAGAAGAAGAAUUCAGAUGAGAAGCCAAAGUUAAAAAAUUAGAUUUUAGAAUUAUCUGCAUAGAGAUGAUGAUUGUAGUCAUCAAAGUGAAUUAAAUCAUUUGAAAAGUUAGAGGAGUAAGAAAAGAGCUGAUUAUGAAUUAACAUUAAUUUAUUAAUAAAAGACUUCAAACCACGAGAAUUAUAUGAGUAAUAUAUUUUCUGUAUUUCUAACCAUCUUUGUGAUCAACAAGUAGGGAGACAAGCUAAUGCUUUCAAAGUUAGAUUGCUAUUUUUCUUUUGAGUGCUCCCAAAUACAUUAGGCAAAACAGGAUAUUUUCCUUGAGCCUUAAGAGGAUUCCAAUGUGGAGAAUCUGACACAUGCUGAAAAAUGGAUGAAACUUGAGGACGUUACGCUAAGAGAAACAGGCCAGUCAUAAAAAGAUAGAUACUGUAUGAUUCCAAUUACAUGAAGUACUUAAAGUAGUCAGAAUCAUAGCUACAGAAAGUAAAAUGGUGGUUGUCAGGAGCUUAAGGGGUGGCAAUGGUCGGUUAUUGUUUAAAGGGUAGAGAAUUUCAGUUUUGCAAGAUGAAAGGAGUCAGUGGAGAAGGAUGGUGGUGAUGGGUGCAUAUCAUUAUGAAUGUGUUUAAUACCAUUAAACUGUACACUUAAAACGGUCAACAUGGUAAAUUUUAUGUUACGUGUAUUUUACCAC